UAGGGAAUCUUCGGCAAUGGGGGGAACCCUGACCGAGCAACGCCGCGUGAGUGAAGAAGGUUUUCGGAUUGUAAAGCUCUGUUGUGAAGGAAGAACGAGUGUGAGAAUGGAAAGUUCAUGCUGUGACGGUACUUAACCAGAAAGGGACGGCUAACUACGUGCCAGCAGCCGCGGUAAUACGUAGGUCCCGAGCGUUUUCCGGAUUUAUUGGGCGUAAAGCGAGCGCAGGCGGUUAGAAAAGUCUGAAGUGAAAGGCAGUGGCUCAACCAUUGUAGGCUUUGCAAACUGUUUAACUUAAGUGCAGAGAGGGAGAGUGGAAUUCCAUGUGUAGCGGUAAGUUGCGUAGAUAUAUGGAGGAACACCGGUGGCGAAAGCGGCUCUCUGGUCUGUAACUGACGCUAAGGCUCGAAAGCGUGGGGAGCGAACAGG
rnacentral:rRNA from 1 species